AUGCUCAUUACAGAACCAGCCAGAUUAAGUUAUGCCACUGUUUUUUUUUUUUCCAAAGGCCUGCAGCACAGGUGCCCCAAGACAGAAACGAAGGUCGGGCUGGACGUGCAGCUGCAGACGCACCUCACCCACCCACCCUCAGAGCAGAGUGCUCCUGUGCUCUUCAUCACACAGGGUGACACCUGUGGCUCUCAGCCUCUGCAAACGUGCAGAGUAAGACGCUCACUGAUGCAUACCUUAGGCUCCUUGGACUGCCAUCGUCAAUACCGCCCGCCCGGUCAGAUUCGCGUUGCCGUGACCAAAACACCCAAAAGCAACUUAGAGCAGGAAGAGGUGAACUGGGGCUGGUGGUUUCCGAGGCUCCGUCCACACGUGGCCGAUUCCAUGGCUCUGGGACAAGGUGGCACAUACCACGGCAGAAGGGCACGGUGAGGAGCACUGCUCCACGCUGGGCAGCCGGGAAGCAGGGGUGGUGGGGUCCAGAGGUGACACGCCCUUCCAGGACACAGCCCCAGGGACCCACCCCCUCC
rnacentral:lncRNA from 1 species